rnacentral:sRNA from 1 species
CAAGAGCAUUACAUGAAGCAUUUAUGGAAGUUGAUAAGGAAAUGGCUACUUCAGAGGGAGCUAAAGAGAUAAUGCAACUUCAUAAUGAAGGAUUAAAAGAAGAUCAACAAAAGAUAUUACUACGACCAUCUCAAUUAC